CAUAGGGCUUUGCCCUAUGUUAUUAUAUUACGCCCUUUCAGGGCU
rnacentral:sRNA from 1 species